UUUCCUGGNUCAGAUUGAACGCUGGCGGCAGGCUUAACACAUGCAANUCGAGCGGAGAUGAGGUGCUUGCACCUUAUCUUAGCGGCGGACGGGUGAGUAAUGCUUAGGAAUCUGCCUAUUAGUGGGGGACAACAUUCCGAAAGGAAUGCUAAUACCGCAUACGUCCUACGGGAGAAAGCAGGGGAUCUUCGGACCUUGCGCUAAUAGAUGAGCCUAAGUCGGAUUAGCUAGUUGGUGGGGUAAAGGCCUACCAAGGCGACGAUCUGUAGCGGGUCUGAGAGGAUGAUCCGCCACACUGGGACUGAGACACGGCCCAGACUCCUACGGGAGGCAGCAGUGGGGAAUAUUGGACAAUGGGGGGAACCCUGAUCCAGCCAUGCCGCGUGUGUGAAGAAGGCCUUAUGGUUGUAAAGCACUUUAAGCGAGGAGGAGGCUACUGAGACUAAUACUCUUGGAUAGUGGACGUUACUCGCAGAAUAAGCACCGGCUAACU
rnacentral:rRNA from 1 species